AUUGGAGUAGUUUAUAAAAAAAUGUUAGUUUGUGGUACUAUAGAUGUAGAGAUACCUCUGAUU
rnacentral:tRNA from 1 species